GGACCCUGCUGACUUCCAGGCAGGUGGAAACUGGAUUGAUAGAAAUCCAGCGCGGGGAGGCUGUGCUGAGAGGAGGGACGCCCCUGCCCUGCGCCUCCCGCUCCCCAUCUCUGGCUGGUAUCCCGGUUACAGAAUGAGGGUCCGUGGUGCAACAGAAAGAAUGAGCCACUGAUACACUCAUCAGCUUGCUCGGAUCUCCCGGGGAGUUACGCUGGUGAGAGAAACCAGUCCCAAAGGUCACUCACCGACGGCGCCGCUGGUGUACUGGUAUUAUGCAAGAUGCCCUCGCAAAGGUCACGCACGGAUGGUUCAUUUAUCCAAAGACCAAAGGAGAGAAAUGCAGGACUCAUUAGCAGUGCCCAGGAGAUAGGGGGGCGGGUGGGUGUGGCUAUAAAAACGCAACCCGGGGGGUGCCUGUGAAGGAAAUCUGCGUCCCGCGGAACGCAACACGCUGUUGGGAUACUGGAUUGUCCUUUGUGAGAUGCCACUAUCGGGGGAAACCGGAUGGCUUCACAGAAAAAGUUCGUUUAAAGGAAAAUGGUUUAAGGCCAAGGAAAUACCUAGAAAACGGAAAGUCUUGAAACCAGAGCCGGAAAAAGAAUGCCUGUGUUUCGAAGUUCCUUCUUAGGACGAAACCAGCUGAAGCUGGCGAAAUCCAAGAUGGCGCCUCUGAAGAGCCUCUGGCUUUAUCAUCAUCCUGUUCUCAUGCUAAACAACAUGUCGCCAUGACAACGACUGGAAGAGACCAAGAAGGGACAGAAAAAAAGGGGUUUCUUGAUUCCGGGAAAAAUCUCCGUUCUUUCCCAAGGAAAGCACGAAUAUUCCCCCCCGUGCUCUUAAUGCCCAGCCCCUUCAUUAAAGACACCCUACCUCUGAAACUUCCCAGCUCUCACAAGCUAAGUUGAUUUCAGAUCUUCCAAUUCCAUAGCCAUUGAAUACAGCCUGCACUGCUUGACACACUCCCUUUCGGUUUCGUGCAUUGGCCUCACCACGCAACAGGAAACAACCCUUUUUGGGAUAACCGGGACUCCCGGUAACAUUUCCAUAUAUACAUAUCUUAAUGUAUGCAAGGGCGUCUGGGGGAGAAAGAAGCAGCACAUUUCAUUCUUUGCUUUCUAUAAUACUGGAUUGCUUGAGUUUGUGACACAUGUUAACAUUUGCAACAUUUUUAAACUAAAUUGUAUGUAUUAUAGAACAGUCCUCUGCGCUGAGCUUGGACUUAAAGUGGAAAGGCUUACAUUUGCAGAAUUAAAAAAAGCAUCGAAACA
rnacentral:lncRNA from 1 species